UACGGAGGGGGCUAGCGUUGUUCGGAAUUACUGGGCGUAAAGCGCGCGUAGGCGGCUUUGUAAGUUAGAGGUGAAAGCCCGGAGCUCAACUCCGGAACUGCCUUUAAGACUGCAUCGCUAGAAUCAUGGAGAGGUGAGUGGAAUUCCGAGUGUAGAGGUGAAAUUCGUAGAUAUUCGGAAGAACACCAGUGGCGAAGGCGGCCAACUGGACGAACACUGACGC
rnacentral:rRNA from 1 species